UGUUUAGGAUCAACAAAGUAGGGAGCUUUCUCAAUGUCAUGUAUCUAAGCUAGCCAAGAAACUGAGGGUGAAGGAAGAAGAGGUAAAAUUGAAGCCUGUUAUUGCAUUCGAUUGUGAUUAAACAUUUGGUGGCUACUGCAAUAUCUUUAGCAUCCCCUGUGGAGCAAAGCAAGGUAGCAACUAGUUCCUAGGUGAUUGGAGUGGUCUAGCAUCUUAAAGCUUUUUCAACAUAAGCUAUGGAGUCAAAUUCAAGGCAUUCUUGAUUAUUACCCAUGAUUAAGUUCAGAUUUUUCAUCAUCGAUAAGUAUAUGUAUGGCUCCUUUGGAAGAAUGGGCAUGGCAAUUUAUGG